rnacentral:rRNA from 1 species
GACGAACGCUGGCGGCGCGCUUAACACAUGCAAGUCGAACGGAAAGGCCUGCUUUCCCUUGUGGAUUGCGGGUACUCGAGUGGCGAACGGGUGAGUAACACGUGAGUGAUCUGCCCCCAACUUGGGUAUAAGCCUGGGAAACUGGGUCUAAUUCCCGAUAGGACUGCAGGGUGGUGCCUGUGGUGGAAAACGAUUUUCUAGUGGUUGGGGAUGAGCUCGCGGCCUAUCAGCUUGUUGGUGGGGUAAUGGCCUACCAAGGCGGCGACGGGUAGCCGGCCUGAGAGGGGGGACGGCCACAUUGGGACUGAGAUACGGCCCAGACUCCUACGGGAGGCAGCAGUGGGGAAUAUGGCACAAUGGGCGGAAGCCUGAUGCAGCGACGCCGCGUGGGGGAUGACGGCCUUCGGGUUGUAAACUCCUUUCGACCGCGAGGAAGCCACCUGGUUGGAAGGGUGGUGACGGUAGUGGUAGAAGAAGCACCGGCUAACUACGUG